UAAAAUAAAAUAAUAUUAACAAUAGUAUAAUUAAAAUUUCGAAAAUAAAAUAAAAUAAUAUUAACAAUAGUAUAAUUAUAAUUUCGAAAAUAAAAUAAAAUGAUAUUAACAAUAGUAUAAUUAAAAUUUCAAAAAUAAAAUAAAAUAAUAUUAAUAAUAGUAUAAUUAUAAUUUCAAAAAUAAAAUAAAAUAAUAUUAACAAUC
rnacentral:lncRNA from 1 species